UCUAGUAACUCAGCAAGAAGAGG
rnacentral:piRNA from 1 species